rnacentral:lncRNA from 1 species
AGAUGAUGUUCAUCAGAAAGAGGAUCAUAAAGAGAUAGUAACUAAUAUCCAAAGAGGCUUUAUUGAGAGUGGAAAGAAAGACCACAUGCUAGAAGAGAAAAAUAAGAAGCUAAUGAACGAAUGUGAUCAUUAAAAAGAAAGUCUCUUUCGAUAUGAGAGAGAGAAAGCAGAAAGAGUAGUGGUUGUGAGACAACUUCAACAAGAAGCGGCUGACAGCCUAAAAAAAUUAACUAUGUUAGAGUCUCCACUGGAAGGUAUAUCACAUUAUCACAUUAAUUUGGAUGAGACACAGGUCCCAAAGAAGAAAUUAUUUCAAGUGGAAAGUCAAGUAUGUAUGGAACUUAGCAUGUCAACUGUUAUUCUGUAGCUAGUUGAAUUACAUAACAUGUUUUAGGAUACUAAUUAUGGCAGAAGCUUGAUUUUUUAUUUUCAUUACAAUGAAUUAUUUCCACUUUACUAUCUCUAUAAUGUACUUAUUUUUUUAUAUUGUGACUUUCAUUCUACCAUUUUGAAAAACCAUUGCAUACCUUUUCUCUUACAAUACGUACCCUUGGAAAAGUUGAGAAUUAUAUAUCAUUCCUCAUAGAAAACUGACUUUUGUCCUGUUAAAAGAGUAUUUUUAAGUAAUUUUUGUAUUGCUCUGAUGAGGCAGGCCAGAUUAAAUCAGAGAAGAAUGUUU